rnacentral:rRNA from 1 species
ACGGCUCAGUAACACGUGGAUAACCUGCCCUUGGGUCCGGCAUAACCCCGGGAAACUGGGGAUAAUUCCGGAUAACGCACAUAUGCUGGAAUGCUUUAUGCGUAAAAUGGAUUCGUCUGCCCAAGGAUGAGUCUGCGGCCUAUCAGGUAGUAGUGGGUGUAAUGUACCUACUAGCCAACAACGGGUACGGGUUGUGAGAGCAAGAGCCCGGAGAUGGAUUCUGAGACAUGAAUCCAGGCCCUACGGGGCGCAGCAGGCGCGAAAACUUUACAAUGCGGGAAACCGUGAUAAGGGGACACCGAGUGCCAGCAUCAUAUGCUGGCUGUCCAGGUGUGUAAAAUACACCUGUCAGCAAGGGCCGGGCAAGACCGGUGCCAGCCGCCGCGGUAACACCGGCGGCCCGAGUGGUGACCGUGAUUAUUGGGUCUAAAGGGUCCGUAGCCGGUUUGGUCAGUCCUCCGGGAAAUCUGACGGCUCAACCGUUAGGCUUUCGGGGGAUACUGCCAGGCUUGGAACCGGGAGAGGUAAGAGGUACUACAGGGGUAGGAGUGAAAUCUUGUAAUCCCUGUGAGACCACCUGUGGCGAAGGCGUCUUACCAGAACGGGUUCGACGGUGAGGGACGAAAGCUGGGGGCACGAACCGGAUUAGAUACCCGGGUAGUCCCAGCCGUAAACGAUGCUCGCUAGGUGUCAGGCAUGGCGCGACCGUGUCUGGUGCCGCAGGGAAGCCGUGAAGCGAGCCACCUGGGAAGUACGGCCGCAAGGCUGAAACUUAAAGGAAUUGGCGGGGGAG